AGAGCGAACGCUGGCGGCGUGCUUAACACAUACAAGUCGCACGAGAAAGGGCUUCGGCCUGAGUAAAGUGGCGGACGGGUGAGUAAUGCAUGGAUAACCUCCCUUCGGGUGGGGGAUAACCCCGGGAAACCGGGGCUAAUACCGCAUGAUGAGUCGCGGCCCUCGGUCCGUGCCUCCAAAGCUGGCCUCUGCAUGCAAGCUAGCGCCUGAUGAUGGGUCCAUGUCCCAUUAGCUAGUUGGUGAGGUAAUGGCUCACCAAGGCUACGAUGGGUAGCCGACCUGAGAGGGUGAUCGGCCACACUGGGACUGAGACACGGCCCAGACUCCUACGGGAGGCAGCAGUGGGGAAUUUUGCACAAUGGCGAAAGCCUGACGCAGCGACGCCGCGUGGAGGAUGAAGGCCCGUUGGGGUACCGUAAACU
rnacentral:rRNA from 1 species